GGCUGAUCAAUGUGGGAGGAGCUAUAGGAGGGCAGGCUCAUUAUUAUGGCUGUUUAUAGACUCAAUCAGGCAACGCAAUUUUAUUCCCCUGUUUUCUAGUGUAAUACUUUUUGAAUCACUUCAGUUUGAUAAAACAACCUGUAGGUCGAAACGUUUGCAGUUAAGUGUACACCUAUCAGGCCCCCGAGGACUGGAAUUACCCAGGCCUGCCGGGUUUAGGGUAGGGACGUCACACGGAUCCCAGAUAGCACUGACCGUCUCAGCUAUUGGCAACUGUAAUCAAGGGCGAGAGAGGGAGAGAGAGAGAGGAUAGUUACACCUGCUUGGCCUAUCAUUUUAAAGCCCUGUGCUGGGCUCCAGAGGGGCGCGCCACCGGGGUGGAGCCACUGCUGAAGUUCACCUGAUACAACUUUGAUCUUCACCAGCGGGGGUGGAGAUGAUUUUAUUUAAGGUGUCUCAGCAUCUCCGUGGCAUUGCGCUGUGUGAGGUACACAGUGAAAUUGCAGGUUUAUUUGCGCUAUGCUGGAUGUGUGCCCUUUCUCGCAAGUGCACACACACACUAAACACACACACACUAAACACAAACACACAGAUCAUUGAACCCCUCUUGGUUCUGCUCCAUCCGGGUUUUGCCCACAGCUGCAGUGUUGUAAAGCUGCAGCUCAGUGUGCCCACCCUUUGGCUGGAGAAACGUGCCUGCAGGUACCAGUACUGGUACUGAUACCAUAUCAGUACUGGAGGGCCUCAGGGCUAGUGCAGCACAGGUAAUAUACAGUCUUUGUCUAUAUGUUCACUCAUCCUCUCUGCCUGUCUGAUUCUGCCAUGUUGGUGACAUGGUGAGUGCUGAAGCUGUGCAGCUGCUGGGCUAGGGGCCUGCUGGACAUAGUGAGGAGAGGAGAGUCUUUGUUAUGGAUGACCACAGACUGUUCUCAUUUAUCACCUAUAUACUGUUAUACUAUAUGUGGCCCUUAAAGCAUCUCAACCAGCUGAAAUAGGCUGACUCAAAGGAAUACAGUAUCUCAAAGCUUAGACUUUCUGUUAUACAGUAGGCUCAUGUAAUAUACUUUAUACAUUUUCUGUUGUGAGUGUUUCUGAUGCCACUUGGUAAAUUAUAUGCAUUCUGUGCUGUCGGAUUAAUUAAGAAGACGAUGUUGAUGCCAUCUACAUUAAAAUACUUUCUGUCUGGCAUCAACAGAACCUAAAACGAAGAAUAAGAGACAACAAACAUUCUCUCUGGUAAUUACAUGAAUCACAUACUGUAUGUAUUCUGAUUCACUGUAUAUUCAGCUAUGUUUAUGAUUGGGAUUACUAAAGCAUCUUUCUGUUGGAGCUUAAAGAACUCAUAAUGUUUCAUUUCCAGUCAACAAUAUGCUAGUGUUGUCUUAUCAGUACUGGAAUAGCGCAAAUCGUCUGAAUAGUAUGUUGGGUACAUUGAUAUACUGUAUUGUAUGUGUAAUCAAACACUCUGAGUGUUUGUGUUAGUCUCAGAUAAGAUACCACUGUUGAAACAUGACAAACAGGUCCAAACAUUACA
ensembl:lncRNA